GACAGAGGGUGCAAACGUUGUUCGGAUUUACUGGGCGUAAAGCGCGUGUAGGCGGCUUCGCAAGUUGGAUGUGAAAGCCCACGGCUCAACCGUGGAAGCGCAUCCAAAACUGCGUCGCUUGAGUCUCGGAGAGGAAGGUGGAAUGCUUGGUGUAGAGGUGAAAUUCGUAGAUAUCAAGCAGAACACCUGCGGCGAAGGCGGCCUUCUGGACGAUGACUGACGCUGAGACGCGAAAGCGUGGGGAGCGAACAGG
rnacentral:rRNA from 1 species